rnacentral:rRNA from 1 species
AUUGAACGCUGGCGGCAGGCCUAACACAUGCAAGUCGAGCGGAUGAAGGGAGCUUGCUCCUGGAUUCAGCGGCGGACGGGUGAGUAAUGCCUAGGAAUCUGCCUGGUAGUGGGGGAUAACGUCCGGAAACGGGCGCUAAUACCGCAUACGUCCUGAGGGAGAAAGUGGGGGAUCUUCGGACCUCACGCUAUCAGAUGAGCCUAGGUCGGAUUAGCUAGUUGGUGGGGUAAAGGCCUACCAAGGCGACGAUCCGUAACUGGUCUGAGAGGAUGAUCAGUCAAAGGAAAACUGAGACGGGGUCCAGACCCACGGGGGGGGCAGGUGGGGGGAAUAUGGGAAAAGGGGGGAAAGCCGAACCCCGACAUGGCGGGUGUGUGAAGAGGGUUUGGGGUUUGAAAAGCAUUUUAAGUUGGGGGAAAGGGAAGUAAGUUAAUACCUGGCUGUUUUGACGUUACAAACAGAAAAAGCACCGGCAAACUGCG